rnacentral:lncRNA from 1 species
GGAGCGAACAUGGACCCGGCUGCGCGGGUGGUGCGGGCGCUGUGGCCUGGUGGGUGCGCCUUGGCCUGGAGGCUGGGAGGCCGCCCCCAGCCGCUGCUACCCACGCAGAGCCGGGCUGGCUUCGCGGGGGCGGCGGGCGGCCCGAGCCCCGUGGCUGCAGCUCGUAAGGGGAGCCCGCGGCUGCUGGGAGCUGCGGCGCUGGCCCUGGGGGGAGCCCUGGGGCUGUACCACACGGCGCGGUGGCACCUGCGCGCCCAGGACCUCCACGCAGAGCGCUCAGCCGCGCAGCUCUCCCUGUCCAGCCGCCUGCAGCUGACCCUGUACCAGUACAAGACGUGUCCCUUCUGCAGCAAGGUCCGAGCCUUCCUCGACUUCCAUGCCCUGCCCUACCAGGUGGUGGAGGUGAACCCUGUGCGCAGGGCUGAGAUCAAGUUCUCCUCCUACAGAAAGGUGCCCAUCCUGGUGGCCCAGGAAGGAGAAAGCUCGCAACAACUAAAUGACUCCUCUGUCAUCAUCAGCGCCCUCAAGACCUACCUGGUGUCGGGCCCCUGGAAGAGAUCAUCACCUACUACCCAGCCAUGAAGGCUGUGAACGAGCAGGGCAAGGAGGUGACCGAGUUCGGCAAUAAGUACUGGCUCAUGCUCAACGAGAAGGAGGCCCAGCAAGUGUAUGGUGGGAAGGAGGCCAGGACGGAGGAGAUGAAGUGGCGGCAGUGGGCGGACGACUGGCUGGUGCACCUGAUCUCCCCCAAUGUGUACCGCACGCCCACCGAGGCUCUGGCGUCCUUUGACUACAUUGUCCGCGAGGGCAAGUUCGGAGCCGUGGAGGGUGCCGUGGCCAAGUACAUGGGUGCAGCGGCCAUGUACCUCAUCAGCAAGCGACUCAAGAGCAGGCAAGUGUGUGUGCACAUCCGGGGCCUGCUGUCCCCGAGCCUCCGGUGCCACGAGCAGUGGUGAUCCCAUCACACCCCUCAGGAGACCAGCGGGAGGCCGAGGCCUAGGGCAGGUGGGAAACGCAUUAUGGAUUAUGGGUCCCUUGGCCAAGAUGGGACUUGGACCCAGAGCUCCUGCUCACCUCCCCUGGGGACAGCAGGGCUGGCCUUGAAGCCGGAAGCCUGGGCCCUGACUGGCGCCUCCUCUGUGGCUUUCUCCCUGGCCUGGUCUCUUGCCUUUACCACAGCCUCCCCGUCUGGGACGGAUGCUCCCUGAGGCGUCUGCAGAUGUGAUGCUCUCACCUGGGGUGCCGUCCUGGCUUCCACACCUCCCCCCUCUCCCCAGAGGAGACCCUCUUCCCUGCUGGGCUGGGAGUGGGGGCUCCCCUGAGGGGCUUUUCCCUUCCCCGCCCAGGCACCGCCUCCAGGACAACGUGCGCGAGGACCUCUAUGAGGCUGCUGACAAGUGGGUGGCUGCUGUGGGCAAGGACCGGCCCUUCAUGGGGGGCCAGAAGCCGAAUCUCGCUGAUUUGGCGGUGUAUGGCGUGCUGCGUGUGAUGGAGGGGCUGGAUGCGUUCGAUGACCUGAUGCAGCACACGCACAUCCAGCCCUGGUACCUGCGGGUGGAGAGGGCCAUCACCGAGGCCUCCCCAGCGCACUGAAUGUCCCCGCGCAGAGCAGAGGGAAGGCAGCGGAAGACGCCAGCUGCCAGGGCCUGGGGCCACUGGGCCAGCGCCUGGCGAUACUGGUUGGGGGCAGGAUCAUUCUGCCCCUUGUCCACGCACCCCCACCAGCCCUCUCGCUUCUAACACAGGGCACCUGCUGGGGCUCAGGGAUGUUAGGGACGAGUUCCAGCCCUGCCACUGCCCUGGGGCGACCCCUCCCUGUCCCUGCCUCCCUGCUCUGCCGCCCCUCUUCCUGGACCCUCAGUGGCUGUCCCAUGGCUACAUCCUGUGGGUGGGGGCCCUCGACAGGACAGCAGGACGGUUUGUUUUCAGUGGAAUCCCAUCCCUGGGUUCCCCUGGUUCCCACUCUUCCCAAGCCUCCCGGGACUGGGACAUGUUUGCAAUAAAGGAAAGGUUUGUGGCGCCUGUCAUGGCAGGCAUCUCAUGGAGCUCCGUGUGGCUGAGUGCUGCGUGGGGCUGGCGGUCAAGGGAGGCAUCAGGCUUGGGCUGUGCCAGCCCUUGUGGUAACUAACCGCUGGCCUGGGGCUUCCCAGGUGUCAGGCACGGUACGGCUCCGCAGGCUUUGUGUGGCAUCGUCCCCAGGAUACCACUCAGGGCACACAGCUGGGCCGUGGAGCCCAGCAGCCAGAGUGCAGGUCGGGGCACCCUACCCACGGUGGGGCUCUGCAGUGGGGUCACUCAUCAAGCCUCAGUUUCUUCGUCUGUCCCCGCCUUGUGGGAGAGUUCAGUGAUAGGAGCAGGUGCAGUGCACAGAGCCGGGUCACCUGGUCCAGGGCACCAGGCUAUUCAGACCCCUGCUCUACAGACAGAACCAAGCCCUCUCAGGUGGCGGCCCCGGGCUUCAGCUCCAGGCUGGGCCAGGCUUUAUGGGAGAAGAGGCUCUGCCUUCCAGGGUGAGUGUGGGUUGUGGGUGGGACCCCCUUUCCUGCACAGAGUACCCAGGAUGGGGCUCCCCAGUCCCGACUUAACUGAGGUGGGGUGGCCUGCUAGGGACCCUCCAGAGGCCAGUGAGCCCAACUCCACCCACUGGCCCUUCCGACUGGGGGGACUGGGCAACGUCCCCAUACCCUCUUGAGAAACUUUUUUGUUGUUUUUUUUUAUUUUUUGAGACAGGGUCUCGCUCUGUCACCCAGGCUGGGAUGCAGUGGUGCAAUCAUAGCUCACUGCAACCUCGACCUCCCAGGUUCAAGUGAUCCUCCCACCUCAGCCUCCAAGUAGCUGGAACAGGUGCACACCAACAUGCCCAGCUAAUUUUUUGUUUUUUAUAUUUUGUAGAUCCUGGGUUUUGCUGUGUUACCCAGGCUGGUCUCGCACUCUAGGGCUCAAGGGAACUGCCCGCCUCAGCCUCCCGAAGUGCUGGGAUUACAGGAGUGAGCCCCGACGCCCAGCCAGGAAACUUUUAAAGUUUUAUUUUCUUUAUUAGUAUUUUUAAAACAAAAUAACUCAUGUUCCUGUAAUAGCUACCAUUUGAGUAAGGUAGAAGUGAGCGCUCGAGGCAGGGAGUGUGACGUUUGGAAGCAGGUGGCUGUGCAGUUGGUGACCUCCGUUUUUCCCACGGGGUUGGUCUGCCACCGGCUGUGUUCUCAUCCCCAUCCUGGGCGUCUGCCUGUCGGCGUAUGUCACAUUGGCUUGUUCUCAUGGCGCAUAGUGCCCUGCCGCCUGGAUGCACCACAGUCCUUCAGCCAGCCCCCACUGUGUGCCCUCUGUGGGUGUUAACUCCAGGUACUUGGGCUGCAGGGUAGAGGAGGCAGCCAGGCCUGAGGCUGUGCCCAUCUGUGGCCUUAGGAGUCACAGCAGCCGCUUCUGAGAGGCCAACAGGUAUCAGGGCACCCAGAGCCACCACUGUGUCCAGAACGGCAUUUCCACUUCACUGGCCAGGUCUAAAGUCCUGAGGGGCCUUUGCUCCAGGGACCCAGGGUACCUCCCUCAGCAGGGCAGGAACUAGGCCAGGAAUACCAUGGGGCACUGAAGGAGGAGCCUCCCUCUAUCCCUGUAACCCUCCAUCCCUGUACCUCUCCAUCCCUCCAUCCCUGCACCCCUCCGUCCCUGUGCCCCUCUAUCUCUCCAUCCCUGCACCCCUCCAUCCCUGUACCCCAUCCCUGUACCCCUCCGUCCCCCAUCCCUGCACCCCUCCAUCCCUGUACCCCUCCAUCCUUCCAUCCCUGCACCCUCCAUCCCUGUACCCCUCCAUCCCUCCAUCCCUGUACCCCUCCAUCCUUCCAUCCCUGCACCCUCCAUCCCUGUACCCUUCCAUCCCUCCAUCCCUGCAUCCCUCUGUCCCUGCACCCCUCCAUCCCUCCAUCCCUGCACCCCUCCUUCGUUGUACCCCUCCAUCCUCCAUCUCUGCAUCCCUGCACCCCUCCAUCCUCCAUCCCUGUACCCUUACAUUCUCCAUCCCUGCAUUCCUCCAUCGCAGCAUCCCUGCAUGCCUCCGUUCUCUGCAUCCCUCCACCCCAGUAUCCCUGCACCUCUUCAUCCCUCCAUUCCUGCAUCCCUCUAUUUUUCCAUCCCUCCAUUCCUGUAUCCCUGUGCCCUCCAUCCUCCAUCCCAGCAUCCCUCCAUCCCUGCUCCCCACUCUCACUUCCCUUCCCUUCACAGACAGGCUUUUCCUGCCAUCCUCAGACCCCACCCAGGGUUACCUGAUGCCUUUCCAGCUGCACACGGGGACUGACUCACCUCUCUCUUUCUCAGUCCCAAAGUCCCGAAAGAGAGCAUCUGAUGUGGUCAGCUUGUGACAAGGCGUCCACCUUCUGUCCAUGACAUGGAGGCCAGGGGAAGGUCUCACUGCCCAGCACCCCACCCUGUGCUCCCAGGCCUUUUGAAUGUUCCUCCUGCUCAGCCCAGUGACUGCGGGCUGUGGCUCCUCCUCCAGCCUCCCCUCGAGGUCCUGGUCUUACUUAGGAGGCCCCGGGUGUAGAUGCCUUCCCACCCACCAGGCAUUGCCCCUUUUCCUGGCUUCACAGACUCGGGAAUAAAGUUUCCUUCUGUUUCCCCUCUUGCAGAAGGAGAUCCGGUUGGCAGCUAAACCGCGCUGGGAACAGGGGCCUGAGUCCUGGACUAGGGCUCUUUCCCCGGGGCUGCUGCAGAUGGGGAGGAGCCUACACCCGCCUCCCGAGUGCUAAUCAGACCUGACAGGCUGGAGAAUGGCCAGUCAGCCUGAGGCCACCGCGGGACACCACCUAGGCCCAGCUUCUCCCCCCACCAGAGGGCGCCAGAGCCCGCCAAGCCUCGUAGGAGAUGGCAACAGGGCCUGCUGCUGCCACCUAGCGGCCAAUUCCGGGAAUGAAUCUCGGCACGCUCAUUACCCAGCGACUCUGCCCAUCUUGACCCUUUAUGUGAAGCAGAACAGCCGCUUCCGCAGUGAGCUGUCAGAAGGCGUCGUGCCUGUCUUGCUAGUGGGGAAACUGAGGCUCAGAGAGGCAGAAGACUUGCCCAAGAUCACACCACCGGGACCCAGGAUUCAAGCGCAGGCCUGCCCAGGCUCUCUGUGGCCUCCUGGCUGCGAGGAGGCAGCCAGGGACCAGGUGCCACCCUUCUGAGACACCUGAGAUCCCAGGCCCGAGAGGAUGAAGGCGGGAUUACCUGGAGCGUGUCUGAAUGCUGGAGGAAGAAGGGCAGCUGGGAGAUGAAGCUGUCAGGAUGGGCCGCAUCCCAUUUCCUGCCUCGUUUCAGUUCAACUUUCCAACAGACCUCCCUGGCUCGUCUUGCUCUUCUCUAAUGGACAAACAAACAGGCUCAGAGAGGUGGUGUGACUUGCCCAAGGUCACUCAGCUUGGAUGCUAUGGAACAGGGACGUCCACUGUCCCAGUCUGUUUAUGGGAAGCCGCUCUGCAACUGUCCUGACCCACCACAUGCCCCACCGCUGUUUCUCUUGCCCUGACCCCUUGUUCCCUGGACCAGGGUGGCACAGCUCCAGGCUCUUGGGCCCUUCCCGAGGGCAGGCACCUGUGACUGUGUCCCCAAAGACCUGAGUGGCUGAGGGGGCCCCACAGAGCUUGGACUUCCUGGAGGACAAGGAGGGGUCUGCCAGCCACCCCCACCACGCCCGCCCCAGGGCUCCCCUGGAGCUUCCAUGCCAGCCGGACUCAGGUGGGUCUGGAGGAGCACCGUGCCUCCAAUCAGACCUUGAGAUGUGCCCCCUGCCCCCACUGUGCCCUCCCCUGCCCAGGAGUCUGGUUGCAAACCCUGAUUAAGGGGAUUUUAUCUCCACCAGAGGGCCAGUAGGUGGGAAGUAGCUUAAACAAUGCAGGUUUAUAAUCUCACAGUUCUGGAGGUCAAGAGUCUGAAAUGGGCCUCAUGGGGCUAAAACCAAGGUGUCUGCAGGGCUGUGUUCCUUCUGGAGGCUCCAGGGCAGGAAGGGGAGGAUCCACUUCUGUGCCUUUCCAGCUUCUAGAGGCUGCCUGCGUUCCUUGGCUCGUGGCCCCUUCCUCCACCUUCAAGCCAGCAGCGGAGGCCUGAGUCCUUCUCAUGCCAUCUCUCUGUUCUCUCUCCUGCCUCCUCCUCCACACUGAAGGACCCCUGUGAUCACACUGGCCCCCCCACCGGAUGACCCAGGAUAAUCCAUCUCCCUGUUUGAAGGUCGGCUGAUUAGCAACCUUCAUUCCAUCUGCCUCCUUCAUUCCCCCUGGCCAUGUAAUGGGAUUCACAGCUUCUGGGGAUUAGGACAUGGACAUCUUGUGGCGGGGGCAUAAUUCUGUCGACGACACCAAGAAACACUUGGAUGUUAAGGAUUCACCGAACACUGUUCAGGCUCCAGGUGCUGGGAGCAGCAGUGAACAAAGCCAACAGACACUGCCACCCUCAAGGAGUUCACGUUCAUGGGCGAGGGAACAGAUGAGAAACCCGGCAAUGAAAGCUCCACCAUCUCUUCCCCUAAAGGCAACCACCAUUCUGAUUUCUCUCACCAAAGACUGGAAAAAUAUCCCAAUACCUGGAUGUAUGCCUCACGUGUCCCGCUGGCCCCAGCACCCAGGUAUAGUUAGUUACUGCUGUGCCUGGCUUCACUCUCACUUUUUUUUUUUUUUUCUUUUUUUGAGACAUAGUCUCGCUCUGUAGCCCAGGCUGGAGUGCAGUGUGGCACAAUCUCAGCUCACUGCAACCUUCACCUCCCAGGUUCAAGCGAUUCUCCUGCCUCAGCCUCUCGAGUAGCUGCGACUACAGGUGCCCACCACCACACCUGGCUAAUUUUUGUAUUUUUAGUAGAGAUGGGGUUUCACCUUGUUGGCCAGGCUGGUCUCGAACUCCUGACCUCAAGUGAUCCACCUGCCUCAGCCUCCCAAGGUGCUGGGAUUGCAGGCCGGCCUUACCUGGUAUGGUUUUUAGGUUCAUGUUGAUGCCUGGAGUUUCAGUAAUUCCCUCCCAUUCGUUGCUGAGUAGCACUGCAACACAUGCAGGCAGCUAUUUGGGGAUCUUUUCACCUGUUGAUGGGUGUCUGGACUGUUUCCAGUUUUUGGCUGUUACAAAUGAAGCCUCUGUGAGCCACGUACAAGUUCUUCUGUGGAUGUUUUCAUUUAGGGAAAGGGGUAAAUAGGAGUGGAAGUGCUGGGUCACAGGGCAAAUGUCCAUUUGAGUUUAUUAGAAACAAUUCUCCAAAAUGAUUGGCAUUUUACCUUGUACUAGCAGAGUCUAGGAGUGUGGCUGCUCCCAGAUUCUCAUCAAACUACAGUGCUGACAUCUUUAGUUCUAGGCCUUCUAGUGUGGAUGCACUGGUAUCUUGUUAAAUGCUUUUAACUGUUUUGGUAGAGAUGGGGCCUUGCUGUAUUGCAUAGUCUGGUCUUGAACACCUGGCCUCAAGUGAUCUCCAGCCUCACCCUCCCGAAGUGCUGGGAUUACAGGUGUGAGCCACUGCUCUGGGCCUCAUUCAGUGUUUUGCUUCUCCCUGACAACUAAUGGAGUUAAGCUCGUUUUCAUGUUUAUUGGCCAUUAAGUCAUCUUGCUUUUGGAAGUGCCAAUUGUUAACUGGCUUGUCCUCUUCUUUUUGCCUUACACAGUUAAUACAUGCUGGAGAUUACAUGUACUGCAAAGAUUUUCUCCUAGCCGGUGACUUGUCUUUUUCGUUUUUGUUUCUGUUUUUUUUUUUUUCUUUUUUUUUCUUUUCUUUUUUUCUGAGAUGGAGUCUCCUCGCUCUAUCGCCCAGGCUGGAGUGCAGUGGCAUGAUCUCAGCUCACUGAAACCACUGCCUCCCGGGUUCACGUGAUUGUCCUGUCUCAGCCUCCCGAGUAGCUGGGAUUACAGGCAUGCGCCACCAAGCACAGCUAAUUUUUGUAUUUUUAGUAGAGAUGGGGUUUUGCCAUGUUGGCCAGGCUGGUCUUAAACUCCUGACCUCAGGUGAUCCGCCCACCUCGGUCUCCCAAAGUGCUGGGAUUACAGGCGUGAGCCACCGCGCCUGCCCAGCUUAUCUAUUCAUUGGAGGAUCUGAGUGACAUGAGAAACUUAGGUUUUCUUUUUUUGAGACAGAGUCUUACUCUGUCGCCCAGGCUGGAGUGCAGUGGCAUGAUCUCGGCUCACCACAACCUCUGCCUCCUGGGUUCAAGCCAUUCUCCUGCCUCAGCCUCUGGAGUAGCUGGGAUUAUAGGCACCUGUCAUCACACCUGGCUAUCCACUUAGGUUUUCAAAGGGCCCCUUGGUCUUGGGGUGGAGAGUGAAGGGAAGCAGGGGGAAGAAGUUUAGGUCUUGCAAUCAUCCAGGUGAGACAUGAUAUUGUCUUUGAUCAGUGGCAGGGGUGGAGGUCGGGAGAAGCGGCCAGAGAGCAGAUCUAUUUUGCGGGUGGGGCUGACGGUAUUUGCUGGUGGACUGCCCUGGAACCAGAGGGAAGUACAGAGUCAGGUUGACUACAAGGUGUUUGGCUUAAGUUCGUAGAAGAAAGGAGUUGCCAUUUGCUGGCAUGAGGAAAAUGAAGAAGCAGAUUUUGGGAGGAAAAUGAAGGGUUCGGCUUCUGACAUGCUGAACUCGAGGUGCUGUUUAAGUGGAUGUGGAUUUCACAGUUGUACUGAUGAAGCUGGAAUUCGUUCAAGUAUCAAAGGAGUGUCAUCUAAAUAUAGAUAUUGAAGGUAAUCCUCAGUCAGAUGAGGUUACUGAGAGGGUGUGAGGAGGCAGGAGCGGGGUGAGGCUGGGAGGGGCAGCUGGGGGGAGGGGAGAGAAGCCCAGCGACGUCCUCGGUGUCUGUGAAGAUGGCACUUCCGGCGGAGGGAGAGAUCCCCCGCACCCUGCCUGAGACAGGCUGAGGAACGACCCUACACAGCAACUCAGGGCACCCCAAAUCGAACACGCAACCAUUAAAGAGGGAGCGCCUCUAAGAAGCCGAAAGGGGGCACCACCAGGCUCCAGAGGGGAAAACAGGGCGCAUUUUCUAACAUGUCAGCACCCCCAGACCACCCAGGCCCCCGUCAGAAAAAUACUGGCUCCAUGAUCAGCUUUGAAACAACUUUAUUAGAAGGCUGCUUUAAAUGACAACUUCUAACGUCCAAUUCUUUCUUAAUUUGCUUUUUGACGACUCCAGUUAUAUGUUCAUAUAUAACAAUUUUUGCAUUGAUCUUUGCAUCCUAUUGAAGAUUUCCUCAUCAGGUCAUUCUGGUGGAAUGGAAGUGCAACCGUGAGGUCGCCAGUUGGCCGGCAUUGUUAAGCAAGGGCAGCAGAAGGCUGGGAGGGACGGAGCCAGUCCCCCACCCUCUCCUCCAGCCCCCGCCCACCACAAAUUCACAGUGAGAGGCACCUCACUGCCUUGACAUUCAGAAAAGAGUGAAAUAAAGAAACCCUCGCAGCGCAGGAAAUAACUGGAUUCCACCUUCAAGGUUAUUGAGGUUCCUCCCUCUCUCUCCACGCCCCCAGUCAAACCCUGAAAUCCUAAGGCUGGGGGCAAGCCCUUCCCCAACCUGCCAAAGGAAAGGAGCCAGGGCUGCUGCCUUCUGGCCGCUUUUCUGCCUCCAGUCCCAAAAGGAAUUUCUCUGGACAGAUGUGACUGCAGCGGCCCAAGGCCCCCCUUCUCCUCCUCCUCCCAUCCCACUGGGCGGGCUUGGGAAGGUACAAUCAACCAUGAACAUAAAUAUGAAUAAAAAAUGAACUUGAAAAUGACAAGCUAUUAAUUAAACAAAUCUAUAAAAAUAGUUAGGACAUAACUCUGUUCAAAUAAAUACAAAAUAAAUAGGUUCCAAGCAGUGACACAAGUGGAAUGUGGGGCUGGUCCCGCUGCGCCCCUGCUGGGGUUGGACAGGAACCCCCAGGGCGUCAGAACAGACUCUGAGCAGUCAGCCAAGCUCCUGCUCCCUCGUCUUCCUCUGGAAGCACAGAAGUCGCUCAUUUGUCCGGCUUGUCCUUCUGGACAAAACCCUUUUCCCAACAGUCCAUAAUUAAGGCCUCCAACACCUUUUCCUUCCCUCCCCAGAACACACAAACGCUCUGCCCUUCGCCCUCAAACAUGGUGCUCCACUGCCCUCAUGCCACAGUGGGGACAGUGAGUUUGGUUCUGAGGUGGGGCCCAUCCUGA